GGUGAGUAACACGUGGGUGAUCUGCCCUGCACUUCGGGAUAAGCCCGGGAAACUGGGUCUAAUACCGGAUAGUACUGCGCGGUGCAUGCCGUGUGGUGGAAAGAUUUAUCGGUGCAGGAUGGGCCCGCGGCCUAUCAGCUUGUUGGUGGGGUAAUGGCCUACCAAGGCGACGACGGGUAGCCGGCCUGAGAGGGCGACCGGCCACACUGGGACUGAGACACGGCCCAGACUCCUACGGGAGGCAGCAGUGGGGAAUAUUGCACAAUGGGCGCAAGCCUGAUGCAGCGACGCCGCGUGAGGGAUGACGGCCUUCGGGUUGUAAACCUCUUUCAGCAGGGACGAAGCGCAAGUGACGGUACCUGCAGAAGAAGCACCGGCCAACUACGUGCCAGCAGCCGCGGUAAUACGUAGGGUGCAAGCGUUGUCCGGAAUUACUGGGCGUAAAGAGCUCGUAGGCGGUUUGUCGCGUCGUCUGUGAAAACCAGCAGCUCAACUGUUGGCUUGCAGGCGAUACGGGCAGACUUGAGUAUUUCAGGGGAGACUGGAAUUCCUGGUGUAGCGGUGAAAUGCGCAGAUAUCAGGAGGAACACCGGUGGCGAAGGCGGGUCUCUGGGAAAUAACUGACGCUGAGGAGCGAAAGCGUGGGUAGCGAACAGGAUUAGAUACCCUGGUAGUCCACGCCGUAAACGGUGGGCGCUAGGUGUGGGUUUCCUUCCACGGGAUCCGUGCCGUAGCUAACGCAUUAAGCGCCCCGCCUGGGGAGUACGGCCGCAAGGCUAAACUCAAAGGAAUUGACGGGGGCCCGCACAAGCGGCGGANCAUGUGGAUUAAUUCGAUGCAACGCGANACCUUACCUGGG
rnacentral:rRNA from 1 species